rnacentral:pre_miRNA from 1 species
AUGUUUGUUUGUUGUGUGUUUCGUAAAUUAAUUUGUUGUGAUUAGUUUCCGAGAAUUAUAUGGACGGACAU